UUAAUUAAAUAAAAGAGUUUGAUCCUGGCUCAGAAUUAACGUUUUUGAUUGGUUUUACACAUGCAAGUUUACAUAAAACUGUAAGCGCACGGGUGAGUAAUAUAUAGGAAAAAAAUCAGAAAAGAAAAGCCUAUACAAGAUUAAGUUAUUAAAACAAAAAUAUUAAGUCUUAUAAUCUUUAGUUGGUCUUUGCGGAUGAACAACCACAUUGGAAUUGAAAUAAGGUCCAAACUUUUAAAAGGCAGCAGUGAAGAAUUUUGGGCAAUGAGUGUAAGCUUGACCCAGCUAAAUCAAAUGUGUGACUACUUGUAAAACACAUACUAUAAUUAAAUUAUGUUUAAUUUUUUUAGAGCCCUGGCUAAUUUCGUGCCAGCAGCCGCGGUAAUACGAAAAGGGCAAACGUUAUUCAAAGUUAUUGGGCGUAAAGGAUACGUAGGUUGAAAAUUAAAUUUUACUUUAAAGAUUAAGUUUUAUGUUUUUAAAUAUUAAAUAUUAAUUUUCUAGAGUUAUAAAAAAUAUUUUGGAAUUUUAAGUGUAACGGUAAAAUGUUUAAAUAUUUAAAGGAACUUCAAAAGCGAAAGCGAAAAUAUUUUUAGAAACUGACAUUGAGGUAUUAAAGCAUGGGAAGCAAAAGGGAUUAGAUACCCCUGUAGUCCAUGCCCUGAACUAUGAAUGUACAAAUUAACGUUAACAUUCCGCCUGGGGAGUACGAUUGCAAAAUUAAAACUCAAAGGAAUUGACGGGGAUCUACACAAGCAGUGGAGUAUGUGGUUUAAAUCGAUAAUACGCGUGAAACCUUACCAAUUUUUGAAUUUAAAACAAGUGUUGCAUGGCUGUCGUCAGUCCGUGUUUUGAAACGUUUGGUUUAUUCCAAAAAACGGACGAAACUCUUAUAUAUUACUAAAAUAUAAACAUUAAAGAUAUUUUAAAGGAAGAAGAAUGACGCCAAGUCUUUAUGACCUCUACAAAUUGGGCUACUUUCAUGUACUACAAUAAUUUAGACAGUUUUUAGUUAAAAUGUAAAUUAUAACACUAAAAAACUAAAUUGUGUUCGGAUUACUUUCUGCAACUCGAAAGUAUGAAGUUGGAAUUGCUAGUAAUCACAAAUAAGAAUGUUGUGGUGAAUUAGUUCUUAGAUCUUGUACACACUGCCCGUCACGCUAUGGAAAUUUAGUUUCUUCAAAAUUUAGUUUUAGGGAAAUAAAAUAACUAAAGUGAAGUCGUAACAAGGUAGCCGUAGGGGAACCUGUGGCUGAAAAUCUUAAAUAAUU
rnacentral:ncRNA from 1 species